GAUGAACGCUGGCGGCGUGCCUAAUACAUGCAAGUCGAGCGAACGGACGAGAAGCUUGCUUUUCUGAUGUUAGCGGCGGACGGGUGAGUAACACGUGGAUAACCUACCUAUAAGACUGGGAUAACUUCGGGAAACCGGAGCUAAUACCGGAUAAUAUUUUGAACCGCAUGGUUCAUAAGUGAAAGACGGUCUUGCUGUCACUUAUAGAUGGAUCCGCGCUGCAUUAGCUAGUUGGUAAGGUAACGGCUUACCAAGGCAACGAUGCAUAGCCGACCUGAGAGGGUGAUCGGCCACACUGGAACUGAGACACGGUCCAGACUCCUACGGGAGGCAGCAGUAGGGAAUCCUCCGCAAUGGGCGAAAGCCUGACGGAGCAACGCCGCGUGAGUGAUGAAGGUCUUCGGAUCGUAAAACUCUGUUAUUAGGGAAGAACAUAUGUGUAAGUAACUGUGCACAUCUUGACGGUACCUAAUCAGAAAGCCACGGCUAACUACGUG
rnacentral:rRNA from 1 species